AAAAUUAAAUGAAUUUUACUCAAGUACUGAAUUUUCAGCAAGCCAAAGAACUUCUUUUCAGUGGUUUUAUUUGGUAUUUUCACCAGAGCUUUCUCACAUAAUCGUCUCCUUUCUUUUGUUCCCUGUCGUCAAAUGCAUGGCCUCUGAUGCUGAACAUUCCCCGGGGGAGAGACAUGGAUGAUCACAAUGGCCCAGCAUGGGUCUUGGCACUCGAUGUGUGAGGAGCAUCUUUGAUGGGUUGAGAGUACUAAUUGUAUCCUAGACUUGCUCAUCCCCAACACUGAGGCCCUGAGUCUGUACCCUGACUUGGGGGCUGAACUGGAGCAACUCUUUGCUCUGGGAGAAGAGUUAAAAGGAGUUCACAAUGUUCAGGCCCAGCUGUCUUUUGGGAGAGAUGUCUGCACUGAUUAUGGAUCCAAACAUCAGAGAGGAAGUGACAACUUUUCAGAAUCCUUGAUUCGAAGUCAAGAAAGCCUAGAAGAACAUGCAAGACAACAUUCAAGCAGAACCCAGGGAUACUAUGCAGAAAGUCUUUCAAUUUGAAUACUUUACUUAUUUCUUUACUCAUGUGUGUAUUUAUUGAAUAAAUAGGUAUUAAGGGCUUGUUUUCUGUCAGGCACUGUUCUACGUACUGUGUUUAUAGCAAUGAAAAAAAA
rnacentral:lncRNA from 10 species